rnacentral:lncRNA from 1 species
AACAUAAUGCAGCCCAGUGAGCCUUAGAAAUCAGUCAACAAUAGGUCCUUACUUCAGUGUCACUCUGUAUGGCUCAGGAAAGGUUGAGAAACUAUGUUUAUUGCUUUUGACAGACAUCUUCUGAUCAGUGUCAGCAGGAGGAUCAGGCUGCUAGGGCAAGAAAGGAAGGCAAAAGAAAACCCACUGAUAGUUAGCAGCUGUUUGCAGCUGAUUUGAUCCUGAACAGCUAAGUCAGUCCUUCCACCAGCAGAAUAAAGCUUCUAGCAGGAAAUAACUGCAGUCCUUCCAUCCCCCGUGAUUCUUCCUAUUUGUCCCUGAGGAUUCCCCAGAGGCCACCCCCUUCGCUGGGCCUGCUCUGACUCCAUCUCAGUUGCUUCAGUGUGGCUGGAAUUGGUCCUUGAAGUGGAACGAUGCCUCUUGCUUGAGAGAUGUGCCCACAUGUGACUUUGUGGCUGGAAUGCAUCCUACAGAACAAAGGUGAGAUCCACCUGCUUGACUCCACCCACUUUUGUCUCUGGUCCUGCCCACCACAGUGGUACCUCGGGUUACAGACGCUUCAGGUUACAGACUCCGCCAACCCUGAAAUAGUACCUCGGGUUAAGAACUUUGCUUCAGGAUGAGAACAGAAAUUGUGCUCUGGCGGUGCGGCAGCAGCAGGAGGCCCCAUUAGCUAAAGUGGUACCUCAGGUUAAGAACAGUUUCAGGUUAAGAACGGACCUCCGGAACGAAUUAAGUACUUAACCUGAGGUACCACUGUGUAAGGGAAUGUGGCCCUGCGGCUUAAAGAAAAACAGUCUCCAACCCUUCUAUGGGAAGUCUUGGGAGUAUCCGUUACAAGGGAUAUUUCCCUGUGAGGGAAGUACUGGAGUCUUAUAGUGGUUUGUUGAAGUUCUAGUAAAAUCUGUUUGUUUUUAAAUUUACAGGUGGGUCAUGGUGAAGCUGGAGCAGGCAUACCCCCCCAGAUAGAUAACACUAUUCUUUACAGCAGCAUCAGAGGCCCCCCCCCCCCAGCAAAAAGUAUACAAAACAAGUCCCUUGAAUAUUUUGUUGCAGCUAAUGACAAAACUCAGACCCCCACCUCCUUUCCUGGUGGCAUUCAAAUUGCUAGCUGGUUCCCUCCAGCUCCACCCCAGUAGGAAUGGUGUGUGGAGUAACUAGUAGACCCCAGCCAUCAAAAACUAUUAAUACUUGUUUAAUCAAGCACUUUUUACCUUUCAGUGCCCAUUAGGAAAUGCUCUUCGGCAGUCCUCUUUUCACAAACAUAACACUACGCCCAUAAAAAAUAUAAUGCAUCAAAAUUAGUCAGCAACACAGUAGGUUUAAAAAGCAACAACCCUUAAUGAUUUGACAGCCUGCUAAAAUGAGUAAUAAUGAGAGAGAGAAGGGGGGGGGGGAGAGAGAUACGCCCUCUGUAUUUGCAUAAUAUUAAGGGAUCAGGCAGACUACCAGAUAAGCUCUCUGUUUCAAUAGGCAUUUGGAAGCUGACUGCUUUUCAUAAAAGGGCUGGUGCUGUGCUGGUUUCAUUGCAAUUAUUUGUAUGUUUUAAACAUAUACAUAUACAUACAUAUACUUAUACAUAUAUAUAUACACACACACACACACACACACACACACACACACACACACAUAUAUAAUCCAUUGAUGUUUAAUUGUAUUUUAAUGAUUGAUUUGUCUAUG